rnacentral:rRNA from 1 species
UACGGAGGGGGCUAGCGUUGUUCGGAAUUACUGGGCGUAAAGCGCACGUAGGCGGCUUUGUAAGUUAGAGGUGAAAGCCCAGGGCUCAACCCUGGAAUUGCCUUUAAGACUGCAUCGCUUGAACAUCGGAGAGGUAAGUGGAAUCCGAGUGUAGAGGUGAAAUUCGUAGAUAUUCGGAAGAACACCAGUGGCGAAGGCGACUUACUGGACGAUUGUUGACGCUGAGGUGCGAAAGCGUGGGGAGCAAACAGG